CCUACGGGUGGCAGCAGUCGAGAAUCAUUCACAAUGGGGGAAACCCUGAUGGUGCGACGCCGCGUGGGGGAAUGAAGGUCUUCGGAUUGUAAACCCCUGUCAUGUGGGAGCAAAUUAAAAAGAUAGUACCACAAGAGGAAGAGACGGCUAACUCUGUGCCAGCAGCCGCGGUAAUACAGAGGUCUCAAGCGUUGUUCGGAAUCACUGGGCGUAAAGCGUGCGUAGGCUGUUUCGUAAGUCGUGUGUGAAAGGCGCGGGCUCAACCCGCGGACGGCACAUGAUACUGCGAGACUAGAGUAAGGGAGGGGGAACCGGAAUUCUCGGUGUAGCAGUGAAAUGCGUAGAUAUCGAGAGGAACACUCGUGGCGAAGGCGGGUUCCUGGACAGUAACUGACGCUGAGGCACGAAGGCCAGGGGAGCGAAAGGGAUUAGAUACCCCGGUAGUC
rnacentral:rRNA from 1 species